rnacentral:misc_RNA from 1 species
GAUGAAGAACGUAGUGAAAUGCGAUAAGUAGUGUGAAUUGCAGAAUUCAGUGAGUCAUCGAAUCUUUGAACGCACAUUGCGCCCACUGGUAUUCCGGGGGGCAUGCCUGUUCGAGCGUCAUUACAACCCUCAAGCUCUGCUUGGUAUUGGGCUCUGCCGGUCCUGGCAGGCCUCAAAGUCAGUGGCGGUGCCAUCCGGCUCCAAGCGUAGUAAUUCUUCUCGCUUCGGAGGCCGCGGUGCGUGCUAGCCAGCAACCCCCAAUUUUUUUCAGGUUGACCUCGGAUCAGGUAGGGAUACCCGCUGAACUUAAGCAUAUCAAUAAGCGGAGGA